UUAAUCUCUAUUUUCAGAAAUUUGGAAUUUGACAGUAUUCUAUGAAGUCUUUGGAGCAGAAUGCUGCAACUAACUUGUUGCUCAUGACAACUGUCCUUAAGGUAUUGUUUCCUCUUCUGGGGACUACAGUGCCAUUACCCAUGGGAGAAUUAUGAAUGAGGAAGAAGUCCAGCUGGCAUGGACACUGUUGCAGAAAAGCCCAAAGCAAUGCCAAUUGGAAGACUGAGUGUUUUGCAAUUAACA
rnacentral:lncRNA from 1 species